CCCGUACCAGGAAGCGCUGGGGGGCAGAGGAGCGGAGUUGAGGCAGAAGCCAGGUGAGGCUGGAGUCCUGGGGUAGGCAGGCUGUCGCUGCCGCUGCCGCUGCCUGAGAUGGAAAUCGGGGGAGGAAGCUCGCGGAAGAAACAGCGGAGGGUCGUGGAAAAAAAAGCAAUGGCUGAGCUAGGGAUGGGGUACCAGGUAGGGGGAGGAAACGGUAGAGAGAAAUAGGUGGGGCUCCCGCGCAUGCUCAAUAGGAAGGGGCGCCGGUGGGGUGCGGACGCAUGCGUAGUGGGCUUCUCGGGCGGUGGGGUGGGCGCGGAAUUUGGAGACCCACUUCGGGAAAGUCAGGAUGGUGGUGCCUUCGCUGAAGCUUCAGGACCUCAUCGAAGAGAUUCGCGGGGCCAAGACUCAGGCCCAGGAGCGGGAGGUGAUCCAAAAGGAGUGUGCCCACAUCCGGGCCUCCUUCCGCGACGGGGACCCAGUGCACAGGCACCGGCAGCUGGCCAAACUGCUCUACGUCCACAUGUUGGGCUACCCCGCCCACUUUGGACAGAUGGAGUGCCUGAAACUGAUCGCCUCCUCCAGAUUCACAGACAAGAGGGUGGGCUACCUGGGGGCCAUGCUUCUAUUGGAUGAGAGGCACGAUGCCCACCUGCUCAUUACCAACAGCAUCAAGAAUGACCUGAGCCAGGGGAUUCAGCCAGUACAAGGCCUGGCCUUGUGCACUUUGAGCACCAUGGGCUCUGCUGAGAUGUGCCGAGACCUGGCCCCAGAGGUGGAGAAACUGCUCCUGCAGCCCAGUCCCUACGUGCGCAAGAAGGCUAUUCUGACUGCAGUGCACAUGAUCCGGAAGGUCCCUGAACUCUCCAGUGUCUUCCUCCCACCCUGUGCCCAACUGCUUCAUGAGCGUCACCAUGGUAAGGCUGUGGGGCCCCCCAUCCUUUGCUUCAGGUCUAUGGACAGAAGAAUUGAAAAUCGGAUGGGAACCCCAGCUCACAGGAGAAGGGUAGUGCACACACACAGGCACACACGCAAUAGACUCUCUUGCCCCUGGCCCCCACCAUUCACUUCCCCGACGCUGACCCCAGGCAUCCUGCUGGGCACCAUCACGCUGAUCACGGAGCUCUGCGAACGAAGCCCUGCAGCCCUCAGGCACUUCCGAAAGGUGGUACCCCAGCUGGUACACAUCCUCCGGACUCUGGUGACAAUGGGAUACUCCACAGAACACAGCAUAUCUGGAGUCAGCGACCCCUUCCUGCAGGUCCAGAUACUUCGUCUGCUUCGGAUCCUGGGCCGGAACCACGAGGAGAGCAGUGAGACCAUGAAUGACUUGCUGGCCCAGGUGGCCACUAACACGGACACCAGCCGAAAUGCCGGAAAUGCGGUCCUGUUUGAGACAGUACUCACCAUCAUGGAUAUCCGCUCUGCAGCUGGCCUACGGGUUCUAGCUGUCAACAUUCUUGGUCGCUUCCUACUCAACAGUGACAGGAACAUUAGGUAUGUAGCCCUGACAUCACUGCUUCGACUGGUGCAGUCUGAUCACAGUGCUGUGCAGCGGCAUCGGCCCACUGUGGUGGAAUGUCUACGGGAAACUGAUGCCUCCCUCAGCCGGUGAGCAGUGAUAGAGGGGACAGGAGGGCAGGGCAGAGGUUCCCAGUGCCCUGUGGCCAAGACUCGAGCCAGUUUAGAGCAGCUGGAGUAAGGGGACUAAGGGGGACAGGUCCCUGGGGAAGCAGAGGGCCUGAGGCAUGGACCAGGAUGACCUGGGCUACCUGCAUGGAAACCUCUUUCUCCUGCCAGGAGAGCCCUGGAACUAAGCCUGGCUCUGGUAAAUAGCUCCAAUGUGCGAGCCAUGAUGCAAGAGCUGCAGGCCUUUCUGGAGUCCUGCCCUCCUGACCUACGGGCUGACUGUGCCUCAGGCAUCCUGCUGGCUGCAGAGAGGUUUGCUCCAACCAAACGCUGGCACAUAGACACCAUCCUGCAUGUGCUGACAACGGCGGGCACCCAUGUGCGGGAUGAUGCAGUGGCCAACCUGACCCAGCUGAUUGGGGGGGCCCAGGAGCUACAUGCCUACUCUGUGCGCCGCCUCUACAAUGCCCUGGCAGAAGACAUUUCCCAGGUCACAGCUGCUUACACAGUGCAGAAGACAUCUGAGCACAGAGCCCUGUUUUUAAGAACAUCUGGGCUUUUGUCCUGACUCUGCAACCACUGGUGCAGGUGGCAGCCUGGUGCAUUGGGGAGUAUGGGGACCUCCUGCUGGCAGGGAACUGCGAGGAGAUUGAGCCCCUUCAGGUGGACGAAGAGGAAGUGCUGGCAUUGCUGGAAAAGGUGCUGCAGUCCCACAUGUCCCUGCCAGCCACUCGAGGAUAUGCCCUCACAGCCCUCAUGAAGCUCAGCACUCGCCUCUGUGGGGACAACAACCGCAUCCGCCAGGUGGUGUCCAUCUACGGGAGCUGCUUGGACGUGGAGCUGCAGCAGCGGGCUGUGGAGUAUGACACACUCUUCCGGAAAUACGACCACAUGAGGGCUGCCAUCCUGGAAAAAAUGCCUCUUGUGGAGCGAGAUGGCCCUCAGGCUGAUGAGGAAGCAAAGGAAAGCAAAGAAGCAGCCCAGCUUUCAGAAGCAGCCCCAGUGCCCACAGAGCCCCAGGCCUCACAGCUCCUGGAUCUGCUAGAUCUCCUGGAUGGGGCUUCUGGGGAUGUCCAGCAUCCUCCCCAUCUGGACCCCUCCCCAGGAGGUGCCCUGGUACACCUGCUUGACCUUCCCUGUGUACCUCCACCCCCAGCUCCCAUCCCAGAUCUCAAAGUGUUUGAGCGUGAGGGAGUACAGCUGAAUCUGUCUUUCAUUCGACCCCCUGAAAACCCUGCUUUGCUGUUAAUCACCAUCACUGCCACCAACUUCUCAGAGGGUGAUGUCACCCAUUUCAUCUGCCAGGCUGCUGUGCCCAAGAGUCUCCAGCUGCAGCUGCAGGCCCCCAGUGGGAACACAGUUCCAGCUCGGGGUGGCCUUCCUAUCACCCAGCUCUUCAGAAUCCUCAAUCCUAACAAGGCCCCCCUGCGGCUAAAGCUGCGCCUCACCUACGACCACUUUCACCAGUCGGUGCAGGAGAUCUUUGAGGUGAACAACUUGCCUGUGGAAUCGUGGCAGUAACUGUCUCCACUCACAGCCUGAAAUUCUCCUGUGUCCCAAACCCCAGGGGGCCCCAGCAGCUUCGAACCUACACCUGAGGGCUACCAGCAGGUGGCGCUCUGGCUUUGCACUGCAAAAACUGGGGACCAGCCCCCUUCUCCCACAAAUAAAGCCCAAUAAAGCCUGAGAAGUGAGGAAAGCCA